GAGGAAAGUCCGGGCCCCGCAGAGCAGGAUGCCGGCUAACGGCCGGGCGCUAUAAGUUGCAGCGCAAGCUGUGACCCAAGGCGACGGAAAGUGCAACAGAAAGAUACCGCCGAUGGCUUUGUCGGGUUUCGGCCAGGCAGGGCACAGGCAAGGGUGAAAUGGUGAGGUAAGAGCUCACCGCGGCCGCAGUAAUGCGGACGGCACGGCAAACCCCAUCCGGGGCAAGGCCAAAUAGGGAAGCCAUGACGUUGCUCGCGUCGCUUCCGGGUAGGCUGCUAGAGCCCGUCGGUAACGGCGGGCCCAGAGGAAUGACUGCCCACGACAGAACCCGGCUUA
rnacentral:RNase_P_RNA from 1 species